rnacentral:lncRNA from 1 species
ACCGAAGAAGGCAACAGCACAGUCGGAUGAUGAAGAAUGAUGUUCUGUACCCAACAAAGUUGAAAUUGGGGUAAACAGAAUUCCGUAGGAUGCAGUUAUGUAUUAUGUUCUUUCAAACUUACAUUAGUCUUGCUCGAGCACUAGCUGACCUUAGCAUGCAUGUCGAUAUGUUCAAUUGUUCAUGUCUAUCUGGGUAUGUUUGCAGACAAUGCGUUGCAAUUUUUAUUAAUGUUGGACAGGUUGAAUUUUUUCGGGUCAAGUGGGUUUGCUGAUUUCAGGUACUCAUCAUUAGUAAUGCCUAUUAUUUAACGUUUUCUAUUUUCAUGUACAGGCUUGGAUGCAUUGUAGAUAACUAUUGUGCCCAACUGGGAGUGAUGUAAGGUGGAGCUGGUUGAGGGAACCUGGAAGUACAGGCCAUCACUGCGUCCCUGCUGAGCUUCUUGUGNNNNNNNNNNNNNNNNNNNNACGCCACUGUAAUUUUAAAAAUAUUUAGUAUCAUAGUUAUCAAAUAUAUAUAUGGUGUCAAUAUAUAUCUGAUUUCAUGAUGUGAGACCUGCAGCGUCCUCUUAUAAUUUUAUUGUUAUGAGUUAGGAUUACCCCGUUCCUUGCAAAGCUCACUGCAUGAGGAUCGGUGUCAAAAAUAACAAACUGGAAUUUAGAGCUUGGUCGUUGUAUCAAAGUAAUUCAAAUCUAGAUAAAUCGGUCAUAUGAUAUUUGCCUUGCAAUCAAACAUCAGCUUAACGUGCCAAAGUGGGCAUCUUGAACACUUUUCUCCAAGGUAUACAUAUUAGAUAAUGGAGGGAUAGCGGAAGUGCGGUAGUUUCCUUUCGUGGCUUCCAUCUUGUGAGUCGAUUGCUUCGUGACUAUCUUAACUAUCGUUGAUGCUGAUGAACGACUGCCUCAUCCAGUGUUAAUGGACCGGGUUAGGCCGAUGCCUGAUUAGGGCGGCGGUUAAUAAAACUCAGGAUUAUGCCUGGGUGAACUUGUAACGGGUGUUUUUUUCCUAAAAAAUAUCUCACGGGUGUAUUAGACUUCAAGCCUUAAUCAGCCUCUGUGACCGAAGAGGUUAAAAAUGGACUUGGGCCUGCUUGGGCCUGGACAAGAGUCUCGAGCCAGUGGUGGGUUUAAACCCGACAGAACAUUAUCAUUGUUCUGAGCCAGGACGUCAACAUAUUUCAUCAGAAGAUACAAUUUUACAUUGAUUGCUACCACUGGCUCAUAGGAUGUCCUAACACCGGUAACGCAAGGAUAAAAUGUGGACGCGCAAACCAGCAAAUAUAUCCAGGAGAGUAUUUUCGAUCUGCCAAGCUAGAUUAGGCUAAUGAACAACUCAAGCACAUACACGUUAAUAAUAAAAUGUAAUUCUCUGUUAAUCUCCCCUUUUUGUAUCAGUUAUACAACAUAACUGUAUGUCAAAUGCUACAGUUUGUAAAUUAGAAUCCUUUGUUAGGUACAGAGUAACAUCAUAAUGCUCGUGAUUUUUCCAUGUCAACAUUUCAUGGAACGAGACACAGCUCAACAAUUGCAGCGCAUUUUGUACAAAAGACAAAAAAAUGCAGCACAUUAAUGUGUAUAAACAUUUUUAUAUGCAAUGUGUAUGUACAUAUAUAUAUAUAUGGAAAAGGGAAACUAAAUUGUAAGGUAGGCCCUGUAGGUGGGGGAAAAAAAAAUAAAAACCAUCUCCAUAUGUUUUGUAAUUACAUUUUUCUUUGCAGCAGUGGUCUCCAAUCAUGCAGUUGAUUUGGCUAGGGCUGCAGUUGAUCGUCUGGUAUCCACAAGGUUG